rnacentral:rRNA from 1 species
UACAGAGGUCUCGAGCGUUAGGCGGAAUCACUGGGCUUAAAGCGUGUGUAGGCGGAUCGUUAAGUGCCUUGUGAAAUCCCACGGCUCAACCGUGGAACUGCUUGGCAUACUGGCGGUCUUGAGCAACCUAGGGGCGAGCGGAACAAAUGGUGGAGCGGUGAAAUGCGUAGAUAUCAAGAGGAACACCUGAGGUGAAGACGGGUUGCUGGGCCAACACUGACGCUGAGGCGCGAAAGCCAGGGGAGCAAACGGG